rnacentral:tRNA from 1 species
UCCCUUGUGGUCCAGUGGCUAAGGGUCUGCACUCCCAGUGCAGGGGGCCUGGGUUCGACCCCUGGUGGGGGAA